GUGCAGCAGGCGAGAAACCUCCGCAAUGCGGGAAACCGCGACGGGGGACCCCGGAGUGCCGUGGCAACGCCACGGCUUUUCCGGAGUGUAAAAGCUCCGGGAAUAAGGGCUGGGCAAGGCCGGUGGCAGCCGCCGCGGUAAUACCGGCGGCCCGAGUGGUGGCCGCUAUUAUUGGGCCUAAAGCGUCCGUAGCCGGGCCCGUAAGUCCCUGGCGAAAUCCCACGGCUCAACCGUGGGGCUUGCUGGGGAUACUGCGGGUCUUGGGACCGGGAGAGGCGGGGGGUACCCCUGGGGUAGGGGUGGAAAUCCUAUAAUCCCAGGGGGACCGCCAGUGGCGAAGGCGCCCCGCUGGAACGGGUCCGACGGUGAGGGACGAAGGCCAGGGGAGCAAACCGGAUUAGAUA
rnacentral:rRNA from 1 species